GAUGAACGCUGGCGGCGUGCCUAAUACAUGCAAGUCGAGCGAACGGAUGAGGAGCUUGCUUGGCUGAAGUUACCGGCGGACGGGUGAGUAACACGUGGAUAACCUACCUAUAAGACUGGGAUAAGUUCGGGAAAGCGGAGAUAAUACCGGAUAAUAUAUUGAACCGCGGGGUUCAAUAGAGAAAGACGGUUUUGCUGUCACUUGGAGAUGGAUCCGGGCCGGAUUAGCUAGUUGGUAGGGUAACGGCUUACCAAGGCAACGAUGCGUAGCUGACCUGAGAGGGGGAUCCGCCACACUGGAACUGAGACACGGUCCAGACUCCUACGGGAGGCAGCAGUGGGGAAUAUUGGGCAAUGGGCGAAAGCCUGAUCCAGCCAUGCCGCGUGUGUGAAGAAGGUCUUCGGAUUGUAAAGCCCUUUAAGUUGGGAGGAAGGGAAGUAAGUUAAUACCUUGCUGUUUUGACGUUACCAACAGAAUAAGCCCCGGCUAACUUCGUG
rnacentral:rRNA from 1 species